GCUCAAUUAAAUUUUAUUGAAGUUAUAAAAGAAACAUAAGGAAAUCCUAAAGAAAUAUAAAAGAAUAUUAAAGAAAACUUAGUCAAAUCCUAACAAAAAUCUAAUAGAACCUUAAAUUCUAACCAAAUCCUAAUCCUAAUCCAACCUUAAUCAAAUCCUAGACAAACCCUAAAUCCUAAAUUAAACCCUAAUUAAACCUUAAUCCCUAAUCAAAUCCUAAUCCAAAUCCUAAACCCUAAACCAAACCCUAAUCCAAACCCUAAAUCCUAAACCGAAUCCUAAAUCCUAAAUCAAAUCCUAAUCAAAUAUUAAUCCCUAAUCAAAUCCUAAUCAAAUCCUAAACCCUAAACCCUAAACCAAAUCCUAAUCAAACUUUAAUUCCUAACCAAAUCCUAAUCUAAAUCCUAAAUCCUAAACCAAAUCCUAAUCCAAAUGCUAAACCCUAA
rnacentral:lncRNA from 1 species